rnacentral:miRNA from 1 species
GAUACAAAUGUUGAUUCCCAGGCUCUGUCUCAGAUCUACUGAAUCAGAAUUUCAGGGGGUGGAGUCCAGGAAUCUGCAUUUAU